rnacentral:rRNA from 1 species
CCUACGGGAGGCAGCAGUGGGGAAUAUUGCGCAAUGGGCGAAAGCCUGACGCAGCCAUGCCGCGUGUGUGAAGAAGGCCUUCGGGUUGUAAAGCACUUUCAAUUGGGAGGAAAGGCUCAUGACUAAUACUCGUGAGCUGUGACGUUACCUUUAGAAGAAGCACCGGCUAACUCCGUGCCAGCAGCCGCGGUAAUACGGAGGGUGCGAGCGUUAAUCGGAAUUACUGGGCGUAAAGCGCGCGUAGGUGGUCUGUUAAGUCGGAUGUGAAAGCCCCGGGCUCAACCUGGGAACUGCAUCCGAUACUGGCAGACUAGAGUGCGGGAGAGGGAGGUAGAAUUCCACGUGUAGCGGUGAAAUGCGUAGAUAUGUGGAGGAAUACCAGUGGCGAAGGCGGCCUCCUGGCUCGACACUGACACUGAGGCACGAAAGCGUGGGGAGCAAACAGGAUUAGAUACCCUGGUAGUCCACGCCGUAAACGAUGUCAACUGGCUGUUGGUGGCAUAGAAGUCAUCAGUGGCGUAGCUAACGCGUUAAGUUGACCGCCUGGGGAGUACGGUCGCAAGAUUAAAACUCAAAGGAAUUGACGG